rnacentral:lncRNA from 1 species
UGUGUAUAAGAGAGAUACACAUAUUAGUUACUUAUGAGAAUGUAGUUUUAUCUAGCCUUCACCCCCACCCCAAAAAUAGCAACAUGCAGUCCAAUUCUGGAUACUUGCCUUUGCUCAACAUUUUGUAUUUAUUUUUAAGGACUAAAUAAAAUGUACUUGCAGCCUUGAUUUUUAUCUUUUUUUUUUUUUUUUAGGAGUCCACAUCGAUUAAAACACCGUCCUAAGUCCUGACAUUUAUUAUGCAAUUUAUUUCCCCCUAGAAAGAAGAUUAAAAUUUAAUUCAGAGACAGGAAACAAAUAAGAGCCAAUCAAUUAUAUGCUGGGGCUUUAUAAGCACAACAGACUGAACGAUUCUGCUUUAUGAAUGGACCUAGUUUAUUAAUGUGACCACAGAGACUUCCUGAGGUUCUGAAACACCUGUGUCCUAUAGCAGUGCUGCUCACACUUGCCUAAUGAGAACAAUUGCCAAGGGAGGUUGCUAGAAUGCAUAUUCCUGAACCACAAUCCAAACCUAGUCACAGGGCCAAGUUCUUCAUUAACCACAGUAGAUGCUACUUUAUAUUUUAGAAGAUGAUACCACGAUCAUGAAUGCACUAGAGGAAUCUGCAGGGAAUGUUUUGUGGUGAUACUUGCAUCUGUGAAGCCCUUGUCCUCCAGAAAGAAAGCAUGUACUUUAAAGGUUAAAUUCUUGUGCCCUGUUCAAAUAUACAGGUAACUUUAGGUAAUAACAAGAAAAAUAGAGAAUGCUUGUUGGUUUUAGUUUUAAUAAAACUGGAAUGGAGACUCAGCUAAGACAACUAACAUAUAUAAUUACUUCAUUUUAACAAAGAAUACUUUGGUACUUUGACCAAAAAAAGUAGUUGAUUGCUUCCUUUGUCUAGACAAAAUCACUUUGUAAUCUUUGUAGAGCUAGGUCUAGGAAAUGAUUAAGUUAUACAAUAUUUAAGCCUAGUUUUCAUGCAACACUAAUAAUUCUAUCGCAUUUUUCUUUCUUUCAGUAAUUCAUCUGGAAUUACAAUAUUUGAGCCCUACAUUAAGCCCUACAUUAAGUGUUUCAUAUAUAAAUUAUUUACAUUCUUAUUUUAAGAAAUCUGUUUCUGAAUAAG